rnacentral:rRNA from 1 species
UACGGAGGGGGCGAGCGUUAUUCGGAAUUAUUGGGCGUAAAGGGCGCGUAGGCGGCUGCACAAGUCAAAGGUGAAAUCCCUCGGCUCAACUGAGGAACUGCCUUUGAAACUGUGCGGCUUGAGUGCGGAAGAGGGUCGUGGAAUUCCCAGUGUAGAGGUGAAAUUCGUAGAUAUUGGGAAGAACACCGGUGGCGAAGGCGGCGACCUGGUCCGUGACUGACGCUGAGCGCGAAAGCGUGGGGAGCAAACAGG